rnacentral:rRNA from 2 species
AGAGUUUGAUCCUGGCUCAGGACGAACGCUGGCGGCAUGCCUAAUACAUGCAAGUCGAACGAACUCUGGUGAUGAUUGAAGCUUGCUUCAUGAAUCACAUUUGAGUGAGUGGCGGACGGGUGAGUAACACGUGGGUAACCUGCCCAAAAGUGGGGGAUAACAUCUGGAAACAGGCGCUAAUACCGCAUAACAACUACUUUCACAUGAUCGUAGUUUAAAAGAUGGCUCUGCUAUCGCUUUUGGUGGACCCGCGGCGUAUUAGCUAGUUGGUGAGGUAAAGGCUCACCAAGGCAAUGAUACGUAGCCGACCUGAGAGGGUAAUCGGCCACAUUGGGACUGAGACACGGCCCAAACUCCUACGGGAGGCAGCAGUAGGGAAUCUUCCACAAUGGGCGAAAGCCUGAUGGAGCAAUGCCGCGUGAGUGAAGAAGGUUUUCGGAUCGUAAAACUCUGUUGUUGAAGAAGAACAUGCGUGAGAGUAACUGUUCACGUACUGACGGUAUUCAACCAGAAAGCCACGGCUAACUACGUGCCAGCAGCCGCGGUAAUACGUAGGUGGCAAGCGUUGUCCGGAUUUAUUGGGCGUAAAGAGAAUGUAGGCGGUUUAUUAAGUUUGAAGUGAAAGCCCUCGGCUCAACCGAGGAAGUGCUUCGAAAACUGGUAAACUUGAGUGCAGAAGAGGAAAGUGGAACUCCAUGUGUAGCGGUG